ACGAUACUACUUCCUUUCCUUCCUCUUCCAGAAUUCUCUGGACUCCAAUCCGAAGGGUGAGUUCAUUGUUAUUUUUGUGGUCUAAGUUUUUGUGGUUGUUGGUAGGGAUCAUUAUAUUUUUGAAUGUACUGAUAAUGAUAAUCAAUUUGAGGAAUACGUUUUAAUAAAAAUUAGGUUUUAUCGGCAGUUGUGCAUAACUUCAGGUGCAAACAUUGAAGUUUUGCACCUGAAGGUUGAAGCUGUACUAGGUUCGUUUUGGGUAAUUCAUUGUUUUGUUUUUUCUGCUUUUGUUUUAAUUUUCUUUCUUUGUAAACCC
rnacentral:lncRNA from 1 species